CAAACACGACAACUAAUUCACCCGCAACCCCAAGGAAUAAAUGCAUAUUAAACAUCGAAGAAGAGGGGUGCGUCAAGUAGUUUGAAAACUACUCACUGUAUCAAAAGUAAAGGGUGUAGGGAGACAUCGGUGUGCCUUCUUAUACCUGAUGACACUGUAAUCUCUGUCUUCUUGCCAACAUCAGAUGAGAGUGAACCCUCAGAAUGCAUCCAGUCCUGAUGGUGUACCAGGCCACGUACCAAAUGGAGUUUUUGCAAAUAUCUUCAAUCUUUCAUUACUAAGUUCCAAGGUUCCCACUUGCUUUAAAAGGGCAUCAAUAAUAACGGUGCCAAGAAGGUAAAGGAGACAUGCCUCGAUGACUUCUGACCAGUCCUUUGAGAAGUUGGCAUUUAAACUAUCUUUAAUUAGAUUUUAUCAGAUUUUAUCCCUAUAUAACUAUGAUCCUUGUCAUAUCUUACACUAAAUGUUGUAGUGUAUACACAAUCAAGCUGCCCACAGUGCACUGAUAAAGUCUAAAGGUCUUUUCUUUAAAUGGAUAGCACGCAAUCAAAAGCUUUUCACUGUACCUCGGUAUGCAUGACCAUAAUAAACUAAACUAAAACUAAACUAAACCUUUGUAAGGACAUAAGUCGCCUACCACCAUGAUAGAUCAACGAGGAAUGUGAUCUCCCUGGAUAUCCAUUCUGCACUGGAUCACUUGGACAAUAAAAACUUGUAUGUCAGGCUGUUGUUCAUCGAGUACAGCUCGGCAUUCAACACCAUCAUCCCCAUCAAAUGUAUUAUCAAACUCAGAGAAUUGGGCCUCUGCUCAUCCCUAUAUAACUAUGAUCCUUGAAGCUUCAACUUCUGGGCUUGUAUAUAAUCCCUGAAAAUCUGUCCUGGACUCAGCACAUUGAUACAACCACAGAGAAACUCAUCAAUGCCUCUAUUUUCUUACGAGAUCGAAGACAUUUGUUAUGUCGACAAAUACUCUAUUGAACUUCUACAGGUGCACGAUAGAGAUCAUGCUGACUGGUUGUAUUACUUGGUUCAUCAACUCAAACACCCAGGAAUGAAGGAGAUUGCAGAGAGUGGUAGACACUGCCCCAUCCAUCACGGCCAACCCCUAGUCCAAGGCCUCAACGCGGCUGGAGAAAACGUCGAUCGCCGUUGUGAUGUUUGUCAUGGGCACCAUCUCCACAAACUCCUCGGUGACAGUCAAAGAUGCAUCAACACCACGAAUAAAUAUUCCCAAUUGAGCUUCAUCAGUCACGUCGGUGCUCUCAUCAAUUGCAACAGAGAAGGCAAUAAAUGACUUCACUUUGUCUUUUCGUUGACUGUUCAAAUCUCUUGCAAGGUCCCUGAUUCUCUCUGCCACAGUAUUUCUUGACAAGCUGAUAUUACCAAAAGCCUGUCUCUUCUCAGGGCACACCAGCUCAGCCGCCGUCAGCAUGCAUGCUUUGAUGAAAUCCCCCUCUGAGUAUGGCUUUGACGCAGCAGCUAUUUUGUUGGAAAUAAUAUAUCUGGUCUUGACAGCUCCCUUGACUAUUGGUGAACACUGAUUGCUAUUUUUUCAGAGCUACUUCAAGCUCGUUUACCUUUUGCGUUCUGAGUCGUCCUGCGACUUGUUAUAUUUUUCGCCAUGUGACGUCUCAUAGUGUCGUUUGAUAUUGUACUCUUUUGCCACAGCCACUUGUUGCGAGUAUAUCAGACACACAGGUUUGUCGUUGACCUCACAGAAGAAAGAACGAUCUUUCCAAUUAUCGUUGAAUAUCCGACCUUCGAUGUCAACUUUACUUUUCUUGGAAAGCAUUUUGAACCACAGCAGCAAACAGUCUCAUCCUUGCUACAUUUGUGCGCAGUGAGCCUGGUAUCCACGCAUGCGCAGUUGCGAAAGGCUUGCCGGGCCCGCCACCAUUUUGAGAUCGCCAUUUUGACUCGCGUCACAACGGGGAUCUCUGGCGUCACAAUGGGAAUGGGUGAGUGGUGGAAUAUUGCGUUGGGAGAUGGGGACCAAACGGGUCCGCAAUUGGUCUAGUUAGAAAGAGUAAAUAAAAAAAAGUAUAUUUACAACCAUUUAUUAUAUAUUAGACUCUAGUACAUAAUAAAUGGUCAGGAAUAUAACUUUUUUUCCCCAAAUCAUACCGCGGGCCGAAUUGGACACCUUCUUGGGCUGGAUGCGGCCCACGGGCCGGUAGUUUGACACCCCUGGUCUAGGGGGAGGUGGUGUUGAGAGCAGAACUGUGGGAAACAGAGGACACAUGGGUGAGGACUCCAUCCACAUCUGCAAGGGGAGGGGUUGGGGGGGGACUAUAUUUAUUGAAGAAAGAUAACAUCACAAAUGCCCUAGAAUAGAAAAGCCUCAUCAUAAAAGCCGAUGCAGUGGAGAUGAAGAAAUUGCAAGAAAGGGAUUGAGUACUUGCAAGACAUUGCCUGGGAGGAGAUGUAAUCAAGAUAGCUAUGGGAAUUAGUGAGUUUGUAGCAGAUAUCAGUAUGUCUCCUGGAAAAAAAGACAGGUCAAGUAAGGGGAAAGAUGUGUCAGAUGGUCCACGUGAGGUUUUUUGCUCCGUUUUGUGUUUAAUCUAAACGAAAGUUGCUAAAAUAUGCAGGGUCUUCUCCCAAUGCAAAAUGUCACGGUGAAACACCUUUAUAAUGCUUUUGAUCAUAAGAAGAUUCAGAAUACCUGCACUUUAUAUUCGAAUUCAUUUGUGAAAUAAAUGUGUCACCAUUUA